AACGAACGCUGGCGGCAUGCCUAACACAUGCAAGUCGAACGAGACCUUCGGGUCUAGUGGCGCACGGGUGCGUAACGCGUGGGAACCUGCCCUUAGGUUCGGAAUAACUCUCCGAAAGGGGUGCUAAUACCGGAUAAUGUCUUCGGACCAAAGAUUUAUCGCCUUUGGAUGGGCCCGCGUUGGAUUAGCUAGUUGGUAGGGUAAAAGCCUAUCAAGGCGACGAUCCAUAGCUGGUCUGAGAGGAUGAUCAGCCACACUGAGACUGAGACACGGCCCAGACUCCUACGGGAGGCAGCAGUGGGGAAUAUUGGACAAUGGGCGAAAGCCUGAUCCAGCAAUGCCGCGUGAGUGAUGAAGGCCUUAGGGUUGUAAAGCUCUUUUACCCGGGAUGAUAAUGACAGUACCGGGAGAAUAAGCUCCGGCUAACUCCGUG
rnacentral:rRNA from 1 species